rnacentral:piRNA from 1 species
UGUAGCGUUGAUAUGAGAACAUCAGGAAG